CUGUGAGAUGUAGAGACAGAAAGAGCAGCUGCCUGAUAACUAAUUCUUUUUUCACAUUUUGUCCUAGCUGUACUACUUCUUGGGUUCCAUGAAGUCUCCUGCAUCCUCAUAUAGAUCUUCCAUUUCCUUGAACUUCCUUCGUUUUUCAGGCCCGCAAAACAUUUCUUGUACCUUCUGCAAUAAUGCAGCCAUGGAUUUAAGUGUAAGCUUCAGAAUUUUUGAACAGAGCAAAUUCAUCAUUGCAUUCUUAAUGAGCCAACCCUUGAAAAUUGAAGACUCCAGUUUCUUUCUUCCAUAGCUUGCUUGAUCUGCUUCAAGGGGGAUUGCUCAAUGGUCACAAGACAAAUGAUGGAGAAACCACAGGAUUAGAUCAGAGGAGGAACAAUUGAGCCACCAGCAGCCUGUGAGAACAAUGUGAAGCAUACGUAAUGAAGACCCUGAGUUAACUCAAGGAGUGUGUAGUUAUAAAAGAGCUAAACUCUUCUCAACAGGAGGAAAAUGGUUCUUUAAGAUGAAAGACUGCUAUCCUCCUUAUUUGCUGGCAAAUUAAUAAAUCUACCUUUCCUUUUCCUCAUCCCACUUGUUUUUUUUUUGGGGGGGGGUGUUGUUGUUGUUGUUGCUUAACUUUGGCUUUGGGAACAGUUGUCGAGCUUUUGGUAACAAAUAUGAGCUGAAGAAGCCAAGAUGACUUCAUAAAAAGGUAAAAUUUGAACUGGCUUCUGAUAGAUGUAUAUGCCUUGAAUAGGGGCAAAAGGAAGAUUUUUUGUUUGUUUUUGGGGGGGUAGCAGGAAACAGGAAUAGGAUAGAGCAGGACACAAUCAUGUAAAUAGCCUUAAAAACAAAGGGAAGAAGGUAGUGGAAGAUGAGUGAACAGAUAACUCUGAUACUCUAAUUUGUGCAAUAAUAAUACAUGCUAUCAAUAAAUGCCAGGUGCUAAUAUGAUGGUCAUAUAUUUGUUAUCAUAUUUAAGCAUUUAGUAACUGUGAGUUAGGUAUUAAUUGCCCAUCUCUACUAAUGAGAAAAAUGGGAUAUAUAGAGAUAUAGAGGUAAAAUAACUUGUUCAAGGUACACAAUGGGUAAUGAAGCCAGAAUAAAUCUGAAGUCUUUUUGAUUUACAAACUUAUAUUCUUGAUAUUGUCUUUCAGGAUACGUGAACAGAAUAUUGUGAUAUUUUCUCAAAGGGAAA
rnacentral:lncRNA from 1 species